AUUGUGUGUUGUUAGGUACAAAUCGACAUAUAUGAUGAAAUUGUAUAAAAAUGGUAAAAAGGAGCUCAAUUGUAAGAGUUCCAAAGUUUUAAGACUAAAGUACAAAUAAUCAAAAAUUGUGUCAAACCCCACGAUGAAGAUUCGAGAGCGCUAGGAUCAAUUAGAUGAGAAAAGAAGUCAAGUGGAUGAAAUAUAAUUAAAGUAUUUUCACACCAAUUUUCAGUUGAAAAAGUUAUGGUCCGAAUUUUUAGCCUCAUAUUGAUACCCAUUUUUGGCAUAGUAAAUGUUCAAAUUUGAAAAUUUUAUUUCUAUGAGAGUUAUCGUUAUUUGAGUUAUCUUUUCCAACAUACUUUGAAUCUCCUUGAUUGGAUAUCGGGAGAGAAUAUUACAACAAAACUACUGAUGGUUGUCCAGAACAUGAACUAAGGCAGACAAGGUGCGUGCUUGAGCCUCUUCUGAGGCCACUUGAGGCUUGCAAACCACUUGAGGCGAGGAAAUUCCUGUUUUCCUCAUUUUCUUUUAGUAAUUGUAGAAUGCAAUCUUUUCGCAUUUUAUAUAUUGGGAGGCACAUCCAAAAGGGUUUAAGUGGAGGUUUUAUCAUUAUUUGAGGUAGAGAAGAUGGAAUUUACAUCAAGGAGUGAAAUUUCAUAGCUUGGGUCGAAGAUUAAAGUGAAGAUAUUGGAGUUUUCAAACUCUUUGUUAGUACUAAGACCUAGUUAAUUAACCGUUUUCGCACAAUUACUCGUUUCAUUCAUAAUACACCAGCCAGUCAAAACUUCCUACGGGCAUAUUUACGUACAGUUCUGAAUGGGACAACUUAACAAAUUUGUGUUCUUCAAGAUAUAAUCUAUUGUAGAAUUAAAUGAAAAUGAACACCAAAUAUAACGUGGUAAACCCAUAAGGGAAACAUCAACUGGCCUCAUGCCUUGGGUAAAAUAAUACACUCUCAAAGAAUAAAAAUACAAUAGUUUUGGUUCAGUUAUUUCGGAAAAUUAAUUAAAACAAUCAAAAGUAAAUAAAGCACAGCUCACUCAUUUUCUUAUUACUUUUGAGUUGUUGGAGUGGUGGAAUCGAACCCUUCGAUCUUGACUUUAUCACCACUUCACUAUUGUAUUUGGCCGCAACCAGCACUUGGAUUAAUAUUCACCAAUCUUUAACUCACACCAACUAGCUUGAUCUUUGAGUAUGAUUAUAUCAUUCACGUACAAGUGUAUUCUCUUCAAUUACAGUUGAAGAACAUGGUUUCUGCUUAGAGAUACUUCAAUGGAACAUUAGCUGGUCAAAACUCACUAAAGAUGGUUAGAAGACUUCAAAACUUGCUAUUUUAGGUUCGCUUGGCAUAGGCAUAUUUUUCUUAAAGCCUUCGUUGGUCCCUCAGUGAUCUUCUUUACUUAUGUAAUUGGUCCAUUAAUGAUCUUCUUUACUUAUGUAAGGACCCCUUUAAGGCACGAACGUGUCUUACCUAAAAUAUGAAAGUUUUGCACUGUAAGAAUAAUAUAAAAUAUGUUUGAUAUGGUCAAUAAUUAAAUUAUUAAUUCAUUAAAGCAGUCUUUCCUUCUUUUACUUAUUUGACCGGUCAAACCAUUUCAAUAGGGUAAAUAUAUAUUUAUGUAUCUGUAUAAAAUAUGUUUGAUAUAGUCAAUAAAUAUAAAUUAAUAAAAGUUUUGAUUUGUUAAAACGAUCUUUCCUUCUUCUUCUUCUUCUUCUUCUUCUUCUUCUUCUUCUUCUUCUUCUUUAUUUAUUUUUAUUUUUAUUUUUAACUAAUCAAACCUAUCCUAGAUGAUAAGUAUAUUUUCUUGUAUAUGCUACUAUAAGGGAGGUAAAUAUUGCACUUCCUUUAGGGUUUAAAAACCCUAAAAACCGCAAUCAAGAAUUUGUUAACUCGUAGUACUAGUCAGUCCUAACCAACUAGCUUACCUUGUUUGGACUGCAUUAGUUGAACAUUUUUUUUGGCACAUGUUUUGGCAUUUAAAAAUCAUUUUAAUUUAAGCAAGCAAAUAGACAAGUGAUAAGUAAAAGCAUAAAAUAUAUUUUACUUACACUCUUCAUCAUAUUCCUUGCUCGGGGUGAUGUUUUUUCUUAUUAUUAUUUUUUUUUUGUAAUUUUCAUAAGGCAAAGCUAGGUUAAACAAUUUUAUGUAUUGGAUGGAUGAUAAAACUGUUGAUUUAUAGUUUAUAAUUCAAGACUUAUUGAUUCUUUAGUUAAUUCUUGUGUUUGUGAUUGAAUAUGCAUUAAUUAUAUGUUGUUUGAAUGUUCGACCAUCAUUUCGACAACUAGUUUUUUAUUUGUAGUUUUGAGAGACUCACAAUAAGUAAAACACACGGACAAUAGAUAUUAAGAACAAUGUUUAUGACGUGGCAAUUUUAUGUGAUAUUCUUGUGAUUGAAUACAUGCUUUGUAUAUGAUUUGAAUUAAGAAUAGGAUCGGGUUGUGUUAAGCAUAGAUUUAAUAUAUUUGGAAGGUAAUAUUAUGUAUUAACAGAUUAUUGACUGUUAUGAACACAUUAAUAAUGCUAACUCACAAAAGUCAAGAAUUGAAACUAGACAUUAUUAGGUGGACUCUGAUAUCCAAUACAUUCAUCUCAUAUUUGAUUAAUCACCAAUCUCUUAGAACUUUCAUAGUUUAGUUAGAAUUAAAUAAAAAAUAUCAACUCUUUUGUGUUACCAAAUUUGGUAGAAACUGGUAAACUAUAAUUACAUUUAUUUCUCGUGGGAUGAUAACCCAACUCACUACAUUAUUAUUUGUUAAUGACCUCGAAUGCUUGCAUGUUUUGUAUGAAUAGUGGACAACGAGAAAAAUCAAUUAUCAAAAUAAUCUGUUUUGUUAACAUGCUUCAAUUUUGCAACUUUAGAAAGAGCAAAGUUUUCAUUAGAAACUUUCUAGAGUACAUCGUUCGAGUGCUGCUGUUUGGAUGAUGAGUCAAACAAUUCUCUUCGAUUCCGGUCUGAUUUUCAUAAAACUGCUAAAAAAAUUCAAAAAAAGAGACAAAAAGAGAACCCCCAUACCUGGGUCAUGCAUACGUCGUGCAUGUAUUGUGUGUUUGUUCUUCAAGAGGAAAAAAAUUAUUAAUAGUGUGUGUGUGUGUGAAAAUCAAAGUUGUUGAAAGAAACAACUCUUGUUUCCCUCCCAUUGUUUGAUCCAUGUAUCCCAUUUUGCAUUAUUAAAAAUUAUCCAAAUUACUUUUGAUAAUUUGUCACAUUUCUUUACAACAAGUACUACUUACAUAGAUAUACUAGCUAUCAAGGAAAGGGUGAUUAAAAAAUCAUUAUUAGAUUUGGUAAUUUGCUUUAGUUUUUGCAAUUCAAGUAGCUUUUGCAAUGUUACGUAUACUUCAGUUUGUUUCUUCCUAUAUUACGUGGCUCAUACAACUGCCUUCUUUAAUUUUUUGAUGUGGUGUAAUAUAUUCAAGUUACGAAUUCUAGGGUGAUUUUUCCAAGGCUUCAGGUAGAUAUAUUAAUAAAAAUGGAAGCUAACUUAUCACUUUCUGGUGAUAUGAUGCAAGUCAAUCCCCAACAAGCUCCGUAAUUAUACAUGGCAAGUUCUAGAUGCUUUCUCUUUUUAGGUUUGUAGCAUGCAAAAUUUUAAUUAGCCUACGCUGUUAUUUGAAGGAAACAUAGACGAGAUUUUUUGGAAACAGCCAAUGGACGAAUAUUCUAGGCACUCUUAGUGAGCAGAAUCAAGUAGAUGCAGAGAAAAGGGAACCCGUGUGGUAGGGAUAAAAUAAACAGAUGAAAUGUUUAUGCAUUUGAUAAUAGAGAAAACAAAAUUGUUUAUUAGCAUUAGAUGAAACGUACAGAUAUUUUCAUUUGAAUUUAAACAGCAGUCAAGUGGUUGUUGGGAUUGUUGCGAGUCAGGCUCAAGUUGCACAAGACCAUGGCUGUGUUAUUUGAGAUUGAAAUAGCGACGCCCAAGCUCUAGGGACUUGUGACAUUACUAAGUUAUUAAAUUUGCAAAAUUCUACCUAGAUUGUUCAUAAAAGUACAGAAAUUAACUUGGAUUAGAAGCAUUAUAGCUUCAGUGAAUCCGUUGCAAAACUAAAUAAGUUUUCUUUCGAAAAUUUUGGAUUUUCAGAUUGCGCAGCUUUCUGAAAAACAAAAAAUCCAUUUGACAACCAAAUGAUAUCCAAAAUUUACAAAAUUUAAACUGUACGCGUCUUCCACAUAGAAAAUUUACAGUUAAAAUCUCGUAAGCAAAUUCAAUCAAUAGAUAGGUCAAAAUUGUUUUCAAAAUCAGAUCUAUUUGUUCUUGGGUACAUUUUGGUAGCUGUCAGGAGAAUGUCCAUAACUUGAGUUUUACAUAAUUAAAAUUCAUGGUUCCAAUUGUCCAAGAGAUAGAUAAUCCAUAUGGAUACCUUUUCCUACUAGAAUCACCACAAAAUUCAAAGUAUUAAGGUCCAGGUGAAUUUUUUACAGAAACAGAAAAUAUUUUAAACACUAUUCUUACCGCUUAAUUGAACAAAAUAAACCACAAUGAAAUAUCCUAUUCACCUUGAACAAAUUUCCAUUACAUAGUUCAGUGUUUAAACAUCCGAAAACACUAAAUUAAAAUAUUUUAGAAGUUGAAAUAAUUAUUUGAACAUAACUUGACUUAAAUGAUGAUUUUUGGAGUUCACAUCGAGGCAUCACCACUCUCCUCCAUGUCGCCAUCGAUCACAUUUAUCUAAAAUUGUUGGGGGUUGAGUGUCUUACGAAAACACUCCAUAGACUUAUAUGCACGUUAAAUCCAAUUUUUAAUAGUUUAAGCAUAUAUCUAUGUCAUUUAAACUUUUGAUAAAUAAGGACAUCGAUAAUCAUGCAACAUACCAACAUAUGGUGCACUACUACGCCAGCAACUUCAAAUUUCUAGUGCAUGAUAAGUGCAUUUUACACACUUAUUCAAGAUUUAAAAAAUGACAUUCUAUACUUCUUUUGAUGAAAUAUAGCUUAAUUCGUGUUAUAUUGUGUCUAAUAGAUAAAACUGAUGAUUUGAUGAAGAAUUGGAGAAAAUAAGCGAAAAUUGGUGAAAUUAAAACUAUGAGGACUAAAAUGUAAUAAUUCAAAAGUUGUGAUUGGAUUGCGAGAUGGUGAUUCAAGAAUGCCAAGAGUCAAUUGGAGUUACAGAGAAGUCAACAAGAUAAGAAAUUAUCGAAAAGGAUCAAAAAUGUAUUGCGAAAACUUUCAGGACCAAUUUGCAAAACUGGCCAAAUUGGUUCCAAAAAUGUGUACCAUGCUUAAGCAUAGUAAAUUCCUACCUAACACUAAGUCAUGCGUAUUGUGCUCAAGCCCAAAUGAACUGUGCUUAAGCAGGUUCAAUUUCGGGAAAAAAAUUCUUUCCUUAUCUUGUCUUAGAAACUUUUUAUACACAAUUUUUUGACACUCUAUAAAUACCAAAAGCCAUCCUAAACGUGGAGAACAUCCCUUUGGCCUAAAAAUCACAUAUUCUACGUAUUCUGGAGGCAAAGAACAAGGAACAAUCAUCAACCUUCCUUCAUUAUUUCUCGAUCCGGGUGAUGUCUUUUCAUUAUUUAUUUUAUAGCUUAAUGGUUGGCAAGAUUUUUCAAGUGUAUUGGAUGAAUGUUUGAACCUUGCUUUCAUUUAUUUUAAUUCAAGACUUCAAUUUAGGAAUUUCAUGCUAUUACUUGAUUGAUUUUACAAACCCAUUGCACUACUUAUUGCUUGAUCACCAAUUAAGUAGUUAGAUGCUCUUUGUAGCAUAUAAAUACUCAUAAUGAGUUUAGAACACAGUAAAAUCAACAUGAUUAUUUAGAAUUAGGAAUAAUCUAUCUUACACAUGCAAUCUUAUUGACAAUCUAAACUAAAUGCAUGACUUUAAUAUGAAUUCGGACUAGCUAGGAAUAGGUUCGUAUUGUGUUAGUUAUAGGUUAGUAUAUCUUAGAAAAGAGCAUUUAACAUAUUAGCUUUAUCGAUCAUCAAAAAUACAUGAAUUGAAUAGAAUAAUUAUUGAGAAUUGAAAUUAAUGGUAAUAAGGGAUACGUGAAUCUAAUACAAGCAUUUACAUUAGAUUUAAUUACUUUUUAAUCACUCUCUUAGAGGAGAAUUAGAAUAAAUAACAAACUAAUCACAACACUUUUGAUGUCAUCACUUUGAAUUAAUAGUAGCUACUGAACUACACAUUAGACCUUAUUUCUCGUGGGAACGAUACUCUUAACUUAUAAAUUUUAUUACUUGUACAACAUGUAAGUAUUAUGCCCUAGGUCCAAUCAACUUUGGACAUAAAUACUUUUAUAUAUAAUUAAUGCAAUUAAAUGACAGAUCUAUUAUUUAAUUAAUAGACAAUUAAAUAAAUAAUAAAGUCCGUAGAUUCAAAUAUUUGUAAUUUAUUAAUCACAAGAAAUUGUGAUUGUGAGAUACAAAUUACAUCUGAUUGAAUCUUAAAUCAUCCGUGGUCGUGAGUAAUAACGAGAUACAGAUAUCGUUAUUAUAGAUAGACCAUCACGUGUGGCAUUUCUUACUUGUGAAGUGAGUAGCUAAUCUCACAAGUUAAAGUGUGGUGACACUUAAAUAAACAUGUGGAUGUUUUGUUAUAGAACAAAACAUUGGACACCCGUCGAGAGAUUCCACAUGGAUAACUAUUUGAGUGUCAGUGGUUAAUUUCUAACGUUCGAUAGUGGAAUUAGUCCUUUGACUUGAGGUCGUCAUGGUACCUUAUAUGAGGACAGUCAUACUUUGGCGAUAUUGGAUGUUGCUCUGAAAAGGGCUGCUAAUACGACAUCGUUCGGGGCGUCAAGAAUCGUAUGAAGGUUGUGAUUGAUCAAUAAAGGAUUCAUCACUCUUAGAUAGUAGGAGAUUAUGAUCUGCGUUUCAUUCAAUUAAGUCAAUGAUGAAAUCCUUGGUCAAGGUGUACUCAUAAGUCGAAAAAGAGUUUUCGACUUAUAUUGACUUAAUAGUGGAGUGAAAGAUAUGAUCGAUGAUCAAGAUUGACACAAUUCCAUAUCUCAUAAUUGAUCAGAUCAUAUUGACGAAGGGAUUAUAGUUUCACGGUAAACGAACGAAUUUGGUUUUGUCAUACCACGUGACAUUUCCCAUCACAUGUAUUGCCCUGACACAUUGCUAAAUGUCAAUCAGGGACGGCGAGUGUGAAUUGACGAUAAAUUAAAAGGGUGUUUUAAUUUAUCAAUUUUGAUUAGAUCAAAAUAAUAUUUCACGUCGUUAGGUAUCGGGAACCUAGUGGGUCGCACAUAAAAGAGAAUUGGAAGAUUGCAAAUUUUCAAUUGGUUAAUUUAACAAUCGUUGGAUAAAUUAAUUAAUUGGAUUUGUUAUUUAUAUUCCCAAAUUAAUUAAUUAGAUUAAUUAAUUCACGGACCGGAUUUAGUUAAUUGGAUUAAUUAAAUAUUAGACAGGACUUCGCCGAGCCCGUUUGAGUUUAUAUAAAUACAUAAUUAGGGUUUGAGGUCCAUAUGAUUUUCAUUAUUCUUGCUGGCAUAAGAGAGAAAACCCUAGAAACUGCAAUCUUAUUCUCUGUGUGGAUCACCGUUGGAGGCUGGACAAUUGGACAGCUGUGGUGGCGAAUCAAGAUUGCUGGAACGAGAAGAAAAGCAAAAAGUUAGCAGAAUUCUUCAAAGGUACAAUCUUUAUCACGAUUUCUAUCUAAACACAAAGGGAUCCUCGAUGGGAAUCGAAAAUUAUUUUAAAUUUCGCUGUGCAUAUAUAAGUAGAUUCCCAACAGUGGUAUCAAAGCCUACUUUGUGUUUGUUAGAGAUUGUUUAUUGUCUUGUUUAUGUAAAUAAUCAAAAAGUUGAUUGUUGGUUUCUUGUUUCUAGCAAUUAGAAAUUUAUAUCAACAAAAUGGUUUUGAAUAUAAAAUAAACUUUCGAUUGGAAUCUGAAAAAAAAGUGUUUUUUUCUCGUGCAAGGCGGUCUGCCGGCGGCAAGUGUUGCCGCCGACGGGGGGAGGCAGCACGGCAGCCAGUGCUGCCGCGCUGAGAUAGCGGUGCUCGCUGCCAUGGGCAGCUGCGAGCGUCGCUACUGUGUUUGCAGGCUUGCUGCUGCUAUCGAACAACAGCAGCAGUGAGCUGUUGUGCGCGGCAGGAAGCUGUCGCAAGCUGGUUAACCGGCGCUGACAGUGACGCCGGCACCGGGGGGGAGGGGAGGGGAGGGGAAGGGAGAACAACAACCAAAAAAAUAAAUAAAUAAGUAAAUAAAAUUGAAUUAGGGUUUCACUGUUAACGGGUGAAGGAGGUUGGAGGCAGGGCGCUCAUUGCAAUUAAUGUGAUUGCAGGCCCCCGCAUGCAAUUAUGCAAAAAAGGGGGGUCAAAUGCAAUUUUUUAGGGAGGACCUAUUCUGCAAUUAGCGAAUUGGAAGGGUUUGAUUUUUAAUUUUAACUUGGGUCAAAUUGCAUAUUUUGAAAGUGUUUAAAUUUGAAUUUUAAAACGUUUUUAAAAUUGAAUUUCAAAUGAAUUUGACCCAUAAUUUUAUUUUGAGCCAAAUUAAAAAAAAAUUAUUUAAAAUUGACGACUUUAAUAUUUUCGUUAAAAUAUGAUUUUAACUUAAAAAUUAAAUUUUGACCCCUAUUGAAUUUUAUUUUAUUUAGGAGUGUUAUCAUAAUUUAAAAUAUUGAUUCAAUUUAAAUUAAAGUUGGACUCUAAUUUACGACUUAAUUAAAAUUUGAUUUUAAUUAAUUUUUCGCCCGAAGAUAUUUUAGAAGUUAGAAUUGGAUUCUAAUUUGACAUUUAAUUAAAAUUUGAUUUUAAUUAAAUUGUUUUGCCCUAAACUUUUCUUUAAAUUAGAGUUAGACUCUAAUUUAAUGUUUAAUUAAAAUUUGAUUUUAAUUAAACAUGUUCGCCCUAAGAUCUCGAAAUUAGAGUUGGACUCUAAUUUGGUAUUUAAUUAAAAUUUUGAUUUUAAUUAAAUUAAUUCGCCCUUAAUUAUUGGAAUUAGAGUUAGACUCUAAUUUUGUUAUUUAAUUAAAAUUUGAUUUUAAUUAAAUUUAGCUGCCUCACAUUUUGAAAUUAGAGUUCGACUCUAAUUUAUUCAAUUAAAAUUUGAUUUUAAUUAAAUAUUCCCGCUAAUUAAAUAAUUGAUUAAUAUGAUUAAUUAAUUAUUUAAUUGUUCCGAUCUAUUUGUCUAAAAGAAUUUAGACGACUUAAUUGCUAGAAACUUAAAAUUAAUUUGCAUAUAAUAUUAGAUAUUAUAUAGGUAUACAUUUAUGUAAUGAAUGUAUUAUUAGUGGACAAUUAUGGAUUCGACCAUAUGGAUGUGUUGAAUAGUUAAUUUUUAUUCUUAUCGUUUUAUGGGUCUGCGAGCUCUUAAUUAUUUUGGACUUGUGAGCCCGUUAUUAUUGUUAUUAUUUUGGACCUGUGAGUCCGUUAUUAUUGCUAUUGCUAUGGGUCUGCGAGUCCAAUUUCAUUUAGGCCUGCGUGCCAACUAGUAUAGGAUACAAGUUGCAAUUGGACUAAUUGAAGAGACAAGAAAAAGAGGAGACCAUAGAGAUGGUGCAUUGAUACUGAUCAGUGUGAUACCCCCUAGGAAUUGACCAACUAGUCUUCCUUAUGGCUCGGGAAGACUAGCUAGUAAAAGUCCAUAAUUGUCCACACUAUUAUAUUAUGUUAUAUAUAUAUUUAUUUGCAUGGUAGAUGUAUAAUAAUAUAUAUAUGAUUGUAUUGUUCUUGAUGAGACUUUUGAAUACAAAAUCUAUCCGUAAAAUAUUAAGUCACAUUUGUGAGCCUUCCAUCAUUAUAGUGAAAAAUCAGAGUCCCAAAUCGUCUCAACUUGUUGAGUACACUCAAUGCUGGUCCAUUAGGGAUAUGUUUGACACUAUGAAAUAUUUAAUAUUUCUGAAUGACGGGUUUGACUUAACUAAAAAUUAUCUUUUGUUGAGUACACUCAAGGAGAUAAAUUUUAGAGGCAUGUUAAGCGAACACAUAAGAGUAUGAAAACAAAGAGUUGUUAGCUUAAUGAUCUGGGAGUUGUAUGGAGAUACAAUUGAUAACAAUAUCUACCCAAAUGUUAUAUUAAGGCUUGUUGAGUACACUCAAGGUCUUAAUAUAAUGGAUGGGAUCCCAGCUCACUGAGAGUCAAGUAUGGACUCCAUAAAUUUAUGUAAGAGGGUCAUAAAUUUUAUUUAAACAGUGGGAGCAUAAUUAAUUUAAUAAAAGUCCAUGUUAAAUUAAUUGAUGCAUUUUAUAUAUAUUAUUCUUUUCCUUUCCGUCAUUUACAUUUAUAUUGAAUCGUGAGUAACCAUAUGUUUUGAAUGGCAUACUAGAUGCCAACAACCAAACUAUAUUUUUUUAAUUGACACCGCAAUUUGAGAAUUGUUCUCAUGCAUGAGAAAAUUGGUCAUGUCCUUGAGUAGCCCUUUCCAGAGACAUCUACUGAUGACUCGAUUAAAGAAGAGGUGGCUACUGUAGUAAACGCAAUUAUGACAAUAGUACUGCAAUGUAUGUGAUACUUGCAACUAUGUCACUGAGUUACAAAAGCGACUUGAGAGUAUAGAUGUUAACACAUAAUUCUUCACUACAAAGAGUUGUAUGCUAAUAAUCGUGUGUGGAAGGAUAUGAGACUUCCAAACAACUAUAUCGGUGCAAAAUGACAAAGUAAUCUUCAAUCGAUACUUAGACAUUCAAGAUGAUUGACGUUGAUAAAUGUCUCAAUUAAGUUCAAUCAUAAAUCAUGAACCAAGUAGCGACUUGGUUCUGCAAUCUUUGUCAGAGAAAGUUAUUCAUAACUAAUUAUGAAUUUAACGUAAAUAAGCUCGAAUGCAAAAUUAUUAAGUUGCUUAACAUGCUUAGGACUGUUAAGCCCUUUAUCAAAGUUGGUAGUGGGCAAACCAUUGAUUCCUCUAAAUAUAUUAAGAGGAAGUCUAAAGGGGCUUUAUGAAAGCAUCCAAUAUGGUUAAGACAGUCUAAGCGAAUGAUAAUACCAAAUCUAAUGACCCUUGAUUUCAUUAUAGAAUGAAAGGUCAUUGGAAGGAAUAUUGUAUGGCUUACGUCUACUUCAUGAGUUUCUUAGGUAUAUGAUACUAGGUGUAAAUAUCGUAUUUAUAUAAAUAUGGAGAAACUAAAUAGAAGUAAACCACUGCAAAAAGGAGAAGUUGACAUAGACGUUAGAGAUGAGCAAAGGUUGCUGCAUUGCCUGUAUGAAUAUACUUCUUGCCAUUGCCUUUUGGUUUUAGUAUUAGAAUUAGAGAAAUGUCGCUUUAUACUCACCAUAGCUGAAACAUUAAAAUGAAUUUCAUGUUCGGACAUGAACAAUUUUAAUGUUAAGGGCAAUUGUUGUUCUUGUUUAUCUUGAUAAAGAUCCCAAUGGUUAUGGUAGAUUACAAAAUGAUGUUUAUAUUCUUUAAUAUUAAAGAUUCUAUAAUGAGUAUAGAAAUUAAAAGGCAUAAAUGCGAUAAUCUAAUUAUUACCAAAAUCUGGCAUGACAUACUUUGUCAUUUAGAUGAAAUGUAAUUCAAAAGCUACAUAAAGAUGUAUACUUGGGAUUAAUUGACUUUGACAAGUAUAAAUUAUGCAUGUUUGGCACAUUGACCAAAUCUUCUUUUACUUGAAAAGAAGAAAGGUCAGCAUAAUUACUGGUCUAAUGUAUGGUGAUGCAUAUGGACUCAUGUCAAAAGAUGCCAGGUAAUGUUUCUCUUAUUUCAUCAAUGAUCUUGUAUACUUGAUGAAAACUCAAACAUGAAAUUCUUGAAAAGUUCAAAGGAUUUACACUAAAAUUAGAGAAACAAAUAGGUAAAGAUACCCACACAUUAAGAUUCGAUCCAGUGAGAGUAUCUUAAAGAUAAAAUUUAGAUUAUCUAAGAGAGAAUGAGAUUCUCGUGCAGUGGACUCCUUCAUAUACACUGCAUCAAGGUGGUGUAUCUAAAAGGAGGAAUCGUUAAUUAUUACAUAUAAUGCGAUUAAUAACAAGCCAUGCAAAUUUCUCAAAAUUGUUUUGAGGUCACGCAUUGAUUGCAGUGUGCAACACACUAAACCAUAUCCCAUCUAAAUUGGUUAACAGAACUCCAUACGAGUUAUGGAAAGACAAGAGUCCCAAUUUAUUUUAUAUGAAAGUUUGGGACCAUGACGCUUAUUUGAAGUGCCUUAAAUCGGAUAAGUUUGAGAUCGAAUCCGAUAGAUACAUAUUUGUGGGAUAUUCAAAUGAGACAUUUGAAUAUAAAUUCUAUUAUCAUGAAGAAAAUCUUCGUCUCACGACAUAUCAUCUUUUUAGAGAAAAUGUUUACUCUUGGAGAAGACAGUGGGAGUAAAAUAGAAUUUGAAAGAGUUCAAGAGUCCACAGAUAUAGUUAACCAAGUAGAUAAAUCUGAGUUUGAUCCCAUAUCUGAUAUGGGACAUACUUUGGAUCAGGAAGUAAAGACUCAUGAGGACAUGACAGCUCUAUGUGAAUCUAGUAGGAUCAUUCGACCUUCCAGAAGAUGCAAAUUCAUGAUCAUUAAUCAGGUAUUAGUGAUCCAGGGCAAUGAACCUGAUAAUUGCAACAAAAUAAAGUCAAGUGUUGACUUAAAAGAGACAGCAUGAGGCCAUGAUACUCGAGAUGAACUCAACGUAUGUGAACAAGGUUUGGACCUUGGUUAAGCCUCCUGAUGGAAUAAAACCCAUAAGGUUUUCUAAAUAGUUUACAAGGGAAAUGUCGAUAUGGAAGUGGAUAUCCAUAUAUACAAAGCAAGGCUAGAAGCAAAGGUUAAGUGUUGACCUUGGUGAAACUUUUCUCCUGUGACCUUGCUGAAGUCCAUUCGGGUUUUAUUUGUAACAGUUGCAUAUCGUAACUAAAUGUUAAGAUAAGUCUCUAUAGAGCUGAAAUCUUCGAUUUGAUGGAAAAAGUCAAAGUAUUUUAUUUUAUCAAAUUUGAAGACGAAUUGUGUAUUUACAAAAAGAUAGUGGGAGCAUUGUCCUGUUCCUAAUAUUAUAGAAAACGAUAUCCCUAUGUUUCAAUCGUUGAAAUAAUGGUCGUUAAAGGAUUUAUUCAUAAACGAAAUGGGAUAAGCAACUUGAUUUAUAGAGGUAGAUCUAGAAGAUUGCUUAACUCAUCCGAAUUUACAUAGAUGAAAUCUUGAGAAGAUUUCAUAUGGAGAAAAUAGUUUACUCUUAAGAGGUAUGUUGGAAAGGUUCCAAACGUGAAGUAACCGUUGAUUCAAUAGUAGAAACCUAAUACAUGGAUACUUCAGAAGUAGCAAAGAGUUGCAAUAUGGAUCAUGAUGUUAGUAAAUGAACUUGGAGUAGUUCCUGAUAUUGUUGAUCACAUACAAUAAUAUUGUGAUAACAAUAGAGCCAUUGCGAAAGCAAAGGAACUAAGGUCUCAUCAAUGAUCCAAACAUGUAUUAAGGCGGUAUAAUCUCAUCAAAAAGAUAAUACAUAGAAAUGAUGUAAAGAGAAGAGCAAAUUUCCACAUUUAAUAAUAUUGCAGAUCCAUUGACAAAGAGUUGUCGUAGUAUAGACAUGAUCGUCAUGUAGACUUAUGAUAUUUGAUACAUAAGUGAUUGGAUCUAGUGCAAGUGGGAGUUUGUAAGUAUUAUGCCGUAGGUCCAAUCAACUUCGGACAUAAAUACUUUUAUAUAUAAUUAAUGCAAUUAAAUGGCAGAUCUAUUAUUUAAUUAAUAGACAAUUAAAUAAAUAAUAAAGUCGGUAGAUUCAAAUAUUUGUAAUUUGUUAAUCACAAGGAAUUGUGAUUGUGAGAUACAAAUUACAUCUGACUGAAUCUUAAAUCAUCCGUGGUCGUGAGUAAUAAUGAGAUACGGAUAUCGUUAUUACGGAUAGACCAUCACGUGUGGCAUUUCUUACUUGUGAAGUGAGUAGUUGAUCUCACAAGUUAAAGUGUGGUGACACUUAAAUGAACACGUGGAUGUUUUGUUAUAGAACAAAACAUUGGAGACCCGUCGAGAGAUUUCACAUGGAUAAUUAUUUGAGUGUCAGUGGUUAAUCUCUAACGUUCGGUAGUGGAAUUGGUCCUUUGACUUGAGGUCGUCAUGGUACCUUAUAUAAAGACAGUCAUACUUUGGCGAUGUUGGAUGUUGCUCUGAAAAGGGCUGCUAAUACGACAUCGUUCGGGUGCGUCAAGAACCGUAUGAAGGUUGUGAUUGAUCAAUAAAGGAUUCGUCACUCUUAGAUAGUAGGAGAUUAUGAUCUGCGUUGCAUUCAAUUAAGUCAAUGAUGAAAUCCUUGGUCAAGGUGUACUCAUAAGUCGAAAAAAGAGUUUUCGACUUAUAUUGACUUAAUAGUGGAGUGAAAGAUAUGAUCGAUGAUCGAGAUUGGCACAAUUCCGUAUCUCGUAAUUGAUCAGAUCAUAUUGACGAAGAGAUUAUAGUUUCACGGUAAACGAACGAAUUUGAUUUUGUCAUACCACGUGACAUGUCCUGUCACAUGUAUUGCCCUGACACAUUGCUAGAUGUCAAUCAAGGACGGCGAGUGUGAAUUGACGAUAAAUUAAAAGGGUGUUUUAAUUUAUCAAUUUAGAUUAGAUCAAAAUAAUAUUUCACGUCGUUAGGCAUCUGGUCGGGAACCUAAUGGCUCGCACAUAAAAGAAAAUUGGAAGAUUGUAAAUUACCAAUUGGUUAAUUUAAUAAUCGUUGGAUAAAUUAAUUAAUUGGAUUUGUUAUUUAUAUUCCCGAAUUAAUUAAUUGGAUUAAUUAAUUCACGGACCGAAUUUAAUUAAUUGAAUUAAUUAAAUAUUGGACCGGAUCGGGCCGAGCCCGUUUGGGUUUAUAUAAAUACAUAAUUAGGGUUUGAGUUCCAUAUGGUUUUCAUUAUUCUUGCUGGCACAAGAGAGAAAACCCUAGAAGCUGCAAUCUUAUUCUCUGUGUGGAUCACCGUUGGAGGUUGGACAAUUGGACAGCUGUGGUGGCGAAUCAAGACUGCAGAAUUCUUCAAAGGUACAAUCUUUAUCACGAUUUCUAUCUAAACACAAAGAGAUCCUCGGUGGGAAUCGAAAAUUAUUUUAAAUUUCGCUGUGCAUGUAUAAGUAGAUUCCCAACACAACGAUCGUGCACGCUUGCGUAUUUUGUCCAAACAAGUUUUUUGCUCCAUUGCUGGAGAAGAAUGGAUUUAAUUUUAGUUUACUAGUUUAUAUUAGAUUAUAUUUAUAUUUAUAUUUUUGUUGAUUUUAGCUACCCACCCUGAUCUCUAUUGUUUGACAUUCUUUCUAGGUGCUAUUCAGCAGUAUAUUUGGAUUCUGACGCUGGCAUGUUAAAAAGAUUUUUGCAAUAAAUAAUCUCGACAUGAACUAUAAGAUGAUAUUUAUUGUGUAUUCUACUAUGGGGUGCAUUAUAGUGGCUACUAUUUGAAUACAUGCACCAAACUCUAUCAGUUCAAGCUGCUACGGUUUACGUAAUAUUUAAGAUGUCAAAACUAGCAAUUGAUACAUAUAUUGAAGGCUACAUGCCUAUGGGCGAGUGUAUCCCUUUCGACACGCUUGUGGGAUUUGAUCAUUUCAUGUCGAACGAGGAGGUACUUGCAAAAUACUACACUAAUCUUGCUAAGUUGGAUGAAAACAAACUGUGUGUGAGAGAUGGCCUAUUCUGGCAGGAAUUUAAAAGGUGGGAGUAUAAUCCACUCAAAAAGUUUAAAAGAAAAGAGUUUCCAUGGCUCAUGGAUUUAAAUUGUGAAACGAUCAUUUAACCCAAGGAUAUAUCAAUUAUGGAAGAUGAAAACAAAGACGAUGAAAGUUCAAUUACAUAUGACCAAAACAAAGAUAAGGCAAUUAAUGAAGAAGGCGUUAACCCACAUUCCAUGGACUUCAUUGAUUGCCCUAUCAUUGAAUUUGUAAUUAAGCCGAAAGAGGAGGAAGAAGUUUAUGUAGUUGAAUUUGAAUCAGAUGAGAUUGGCAAGUCAUAUCAUAUUGGAGGGGGCAGUGUUAAAAUUUGUAGAAGCAACAAAGAGUGGAGCAAAGUCAAAAGAGGCAAAUUGAGCAAAGCAUCAAUAGUGUUCUUCAGAAUUCCAUGAUUUCAAAACAGUGAAGACAAGCUAAGGACAUUAAAUAAAGUGUUUAUUAGGAGGCAACCCAAUUUUUCUUUCCUUUAUUUAUUAUGCUUUCUAGUCAUAUGAUAAUUUAGUUUAUUUAUUAGUUUUAAUUAGGGACUCAUCAUCCAUUUGUCAUUUUCCCUUAUGUCCUCGAGAUUUAAUUAGUUUAUUAGAUGUUUGAGUUAAAUAACAUUUGUUCCAAAUAUUCAACCUUAAAUGUUUUUAUCUAAUCAUAUUGUGCAUGGAUAUGACAACAUAGAACACUGAACCAACAAUGACCAAGAAGACAAUGGAGAGCAAUUGGAAAGCUAGCUAUUGAAUAUGUGGAUUUAGAAUUUAAGACAUUGAGGAUAAUGUCUAGUUUAAGUUUGGUGGUGAAAACACGAGUUUUCUUUUGUUCUUUUGUUUUUGUUCAUGUUCUAUUGCUUUAGCUAUUAAACCAAAAAUAAAAUAAAAUAAAAUUUGAAAUGUUUAAAAAACUCCAAAACUAUUUUAUUUGUGCGAGUUAGUUGAUCUGGCAAGUAAUGAUGAAUUUAUUAAAUUAUAAAUUGAUCUACGAAUGAUGAAUAGGUUGCAUGCUUAGGUUAAUUUUUACUAUUCCAUGUGAAAGCUGAUAUAUAUUGAGCAAAUGAAUUAAGUUAAACAUUAUGUAGGAAUGACUUGAAUUCAUAAUUGGAUAGGUUAAAAUAGUGGACAUAGAUGCGAAACCCAAAGUCACUAAAUUCUACAUCCUUAGACCAAAUUUGGAAUAGUUUGGGAAGAUUUCAUUGUUGUAGAAAGAUGUUAAGAUAAAUGGGAAUUCCAUACGUGAAAUUAAAUAUCUUGUGGGGAUUCUCUAAGGUCAAUAGGAUGAAAGUGGAUGAAAGUCUUAAGUUAAAUGUCAAUUUACUUGAAUAGAUGUUUAAUGAGGGACAUUGCACUAAUCAAGGUAUAAAAAAUAUUUUAUUUGAAAAUUUUUCUUUGUGACCUUGAUGGUUCAAGCCAUUAAGCAUGUAAUAGUGUCAAAACUUGUUGCCCUAAAGUCAACUGACUUGAAAGACAUUGGUCUAAAGUUUGUCAAAUGGGCUAUUUAGAAUGCUUAAAGGAGAGAAUGCUGCAAAUAAAGAAAAUAGUGUUGAAAUAAAAAUUGAGGAAUAUAUAUAUAUAUAUAUAGAAAAAGUGGGUUUAUAAACAAAAGAUGUAUCAAAUACCUUGGUUAAACCCAAAACACUUAGCUAGGGAAAUUUUGACUUUUCAAAACGGAUUUUUAGCCUAGUUAAGUCCUGGAGAUUGAUGGAAUCAAAAUUAAAGGAAAAUCCUAGUCUAUUGGCAUGUUAAUAUGCAAUUGGUAAGAUUCUCCUAAACUAGAGAGGUGGGGAUAGUAUAAAAAUCAACUUUAGAUUACACACUUGAAAAGAGUGAAAAGAACAAGUUUGGAGGUAUUUGAAUCUCACAAGUGAAGAUAAGAACAUAUUUGACUAUCAAGGAUCGGGAAUGGAAGAACUUUUGAAUUCAUGAUACUAUUCUUAAUUCUUCACACACACACGUCGACUUUGCAUUGGAAAAUAGACUUUGAUUUCUUUAUUAUGAUCUUGAAGCUGUGCUUAAAUUUAAUAUCAUGAUUUCAAUUUGGAGAUAAAAUGUCAAGUUAGCUAGCUAAAUAUUUUUUCUUGCUUGCGUGUUUAUUUUAAGUUAGGUUAUAAUUUUGUUUGAGAACAAACAAAUGUUCAAGUUUGAAGGUUUGAUAAGCGUAUUUUACACACUUAUUUGAGCUCUAAAUAAUGACAUUUGUAUUUCUUUUGAUGAAAUAUAGUAUAAUUCGUGUUAUAUUAUGUCUAAUAGGUAAAACUCAUGAUUUGAUGAAAAAUUGGAGAAAACAAGAGAAAAAUGGCAAAAUAAAAACUAUGGGGAUUAAAAUUUAAUAAUUCAAAAGUUGUGCUACAUUGCGAGAUGGUGAUUCAAGAAUGAAAAGAGUCAAUUGGAGUUGAAGAGAAGUCAACAAGAUGAGAAAUUAUCAAAAAGAUAAUAAAAAAAAAUGCAUUGCAAAAUGUUCCAAGAUCAAUUUGCAAAAUUGGUUCCAAAAAUUUGUACAAAUUUGUAAAAGCUUAAUAAUACGGACCGAAUAAAGUAAAAUUUAAUACUAAAAUGACACAAAGCUUAGUACUAAGGACCAAAUAAGUGCACAAAAUCACACUUAUCUGUUACGAUCAUUGAACUUUCUUCCAUUUAGUUUUGAAUACAAGCGGUUUCUCUACCACCUAAUGUAUGCUAUUAUUGAAAGCCAACUAUUUGGCGAUUAUAUAGUGUGAAUAAAUCUUGUCAUUUAACUUAGGGUUCUUAGAUUUGUGUCCCCCUAGUGUGGCUAGGCACAAGGUAAAGAGUGUAGGCUUUAAUGGUUUUUAUGGUUUUGUCAUUAGUUCUCCUAUGUGAUUUUCUAUUCUUAGACUGUAUUACAUAGUCAAAAAGAAAUGAAGAUUGUCAAGAAUCAAGUGUAUAAUCUGAUAGAAGAUCAAUGGUUUGGUGAACGAUAUAUAUAUAUGACAAUAUUUAUACUUAUAAAGUAUGAAAACCCAUGGGCUACAAUUAUAGUGUGUGUAGAGUUAUUUUCAUUAAUAUUAUGUAUCUUUUAAAAAAAAAAUUGCAUUUAAAAUUUUUAUCCCACAACAGAAAUUGUCGGGCUCCGCCACAGCAUGCAUGUGUCAUGCAUCCCUAGUUCAAGAUGAAAAUGUUAUUGAGAGAGUAUAUGCAUUAAAAAAUUUAAUGUUCUGCAAAAAUUUCGAUUGAGACAGUUUUUGGAGUGUUUAAUGACUACUUGAAAAGUGUUGUCUUUUGUAUCUUUGAAUAUACAACUAUAAUGAACAUGCUUUUAUUGUUUAUCCCAUGCAUGGGAUCCACGUUCUUUUAAAUAAAUUUUUGUUUAGUCGGGUAUUCAAAAAUAUCAAACUAAAAAUGUUUUAAUGAUCUACAUUAUUAUUUAAAAAGAAUUUGGUUGGUUUUAAUAAUUGACAGUGCAAUAAUAAUGAACACUCAUCUAUUGCACACUCAUUCGUCAUUAAUAGUACACAUUCAAUAUACACACACUUUUAUCCACAAAUGCAUAGGAUCCACAUUUUAUAUGUUGACUGUUGUUCAUAUGGUGUUCAAAAACUUCUGAAUUUAAACACUUUUACAAUUGUUUCGUGACUAUUUAAAAGGGUAUGGCAAGGUUUUCCUCAUAGACAGUACAACGGUAAUGGUCAAUUGAUCUCGCCUUCUACCCACCACAACUCCAACACCACUUGGUUAAUUGACAACAAUGCCUUCAUAUUAAUACUCAUCAUAUCCCACAAAGCUCUUUGUAUCCACCAUUUUUAUAUUAACAAAUUUCUACCAUAAAUUCCAACUUUUUUUUUCUAAAGCUCAUGUGCUCUCAAUCUUACUAUCUAAACGAAAAUAUUUCAAUUUGUAAAACCUAGAAAAUACAGAUGGAGACCUAGAAAAUCUGUGGACAGUUGUAUAUACUUAGUUGUCAUCAUCAAAUGUGAUGAUGGUGUCUACAUCACGGCCCAAUCACAAUCUUCCUAGUACCCUAUUACAUUAUUUUACCAAUCUCCAAUCUCAUCACAGUCAGGCUUUCAAGUCUAUGAACAUGGAGGAAAUUCUAAAGAAUAUUUACUAUGAUUCGGAGUGUUUUGCUUUGGAUAUAAUGGGAUUGCUUGUUUUCGUGUUGGUCCUGGAGGAGAAUUGAAGAUAAGGAGUAACUGGGAGGACUACAAGAAAAAUAAAAAACAAAAUCAAUUUUAUCUAAAUAUGGAGAUAACUUGCUUCAAUUUCGCAACUUUAGCAAGAGGAAAGUAUUUAUUAGAGACUUUCUAGACUAGAUCAUUCCAGUGAUGAAGUUUGGAGUAUGAGUCCAGCCAUUCUCUUUGAUUCUGGUUUGAUCUUUAAAUUGAAAAAAAAAAGUUAGAAAAGAGACAACAUGAGAAUACCAUCUAUGGGUCAUUACAACGUGCACGUGUUGUGCAUUCGUUGCUCAAGAAGGAAAAAAGUUACUGAGAGUAUGUAUGUGUGUGUGUGUGUGUGUAUAUAUAUAUAAAACUCAAACUCAAGUGAAAUGAAGCCCCGACGGGUAUACCGGUGGUUGAUUAGAAGAGGAAGCAUGCCCUCAUAUGCUGCUGGAAGUAAAGGCUCUUACUUUCCCUCUCAUAGUUCGAUCCCAUUGUGAUCUCAUUUUGUAUUACUAAAAAUUAGGGCUAGAUAAUACUCCCGAACCUAAUCAAGUGGUUUAAUUCGAUUCUUGUUUGAUUAAAUACCUGAAUUGGAACUAAAAUUGAGAAUCGACGGAUUUAGUUUAGUUCUUGGUUCUAGAUCAAAAAUCGAAUCUCCCAAUUUUUUAAAAAUGUUUUAUAUUGAACAAGCGAAAUUAUUUUAAUUUUUUUCUAAGCCCUUGUUUGAGCCUCAUUUUUUCAAAACUUAUUUUCAACCACACAUUCUUCUAUAUAAUAAUUAUACACGUAUUUUAUUUUUAAAAAAAUUCCCUACUUUUUAAUCACACAUCCUCCAAAAAACCACUAUUCCAUAAUGCCUUUUAUCCCAUAUUUUUGAAUCAAACAUGGGGUAAACAAAUUUGUCAAUUAAUUAAUUAAGUAAUUAACUGUAAUUGCGCAAGGCUCCAACUCUCUAGGGCCAACCCAACUCAAGUCCAAAAUAUUUUUGCUACAAAUUUCAAUUCGACUACAACUUUACUUCACAAUUCGCCCGACACUCACUUAUUCUGUCAUUUAGGUUUUUCCAUGACCCUCAUUUUCGGCCGCUUCCCAAUCAGAAGCCACGACUUCAUCUUUCCUCCUCAAGAUUCACACGGACCACACCAUCAUAUCAUAUAUUUUUCCAUAUUAAAUCUUAUUAGUUGGACAAUUUUUUGAUUAGUUGUGCUUGUUAGAUAUGUUUUUUCAAUUAUCUCUCAUGGAGUUUUUUAGUAUGACAAGUCAAACAACGGAUAAAUAAUUUAAAUGGUAGAAAAGUACUAGCAAUACUAAAAAAUAUUUUAUUUCUAUAACUUUUAUUUUAUAUUUCACUGUUUCAUAUAUAUUUGUAGGCUUGAAGAAAAGGAAUCAAUGGAAUAGAAUUAUCGAUAUUUGAGCGUUGUUAUUUACUUUUUGGUGAUUUGUAUGCAUUGAUUAAUGGAACUUAUUAGACAACUUGUUAUUUGUAUAUUUUGAAUCUGAACUAUGUUAUUUUUUAGGAGUUAAAAUUGAACAUAUCAUUGGUUGCAUUAAUGUAGUGUUGAUUUAAAUAUUAAAAAAUUUAAUUAUAGUACGAAUCCGAAUGGGACCAAACUGAUCAGUUCCAUAAUUAAAUUUUGAUUUGACUAUUAUACUUAAUAAAUAACUAAAAGUUCUGGUUUGGCCUACUAAAAAUGAUCGGAAGUAUCGUAAUACUUAGUCACAUUUCCUUCCCUUCCCAUAUGGGAAAAUUACAUUGAAUGUUCCGGGGAUUUAAAAAUAAAAUAAAAUAAAAUCAUUUCUAAUUGAAAUCUGAAUUUAUAUUUCUUUAGCAAUCUCUGUUUCCAACAAAUCUCGUAUUAUUGUCAUACAUAAUUACAUGAUACAAUAUUCCUGUUUUCCUAUGAUGUGCUUUACCGUCUAUGUUUUACCUUGUGCAAUUUACAAUGACAUGCACUACUUACAAUAUAUUGGACAAUCAAGGAAAGGAUGAUUACAAAAUCAUUUUUAAAUUUGGCUCUUUGUUUUAGCUUAUGCCAUUCAAGUAGCUUCUUUUGCAAAGUUAUGGAUACAUCCAUUUAUAUCUUCGUACAACGGCCUCUUAUGUUUUGACAUGGAGUAAUAUGGUAGUUAAUGAUUUCUAGGGAGAAUUUUCUGAGGCUUCAGGUAGAUAUGUUAAUAAAAACGGAAUCCGACUUAUCACUUUCCUGUAUGAUGCAAGUCAAUCCCCCAACAAGCUCCCUAUACGAUGUCACGAUAUUCCUUCAAUAGGUCAACCAGUGAAAAAUAAUUUGAUGAUGCCAAGAUUUGAGUUCUUUCUAUCGCCAGGCAAGAUAACGAUUAUCUUGAGGGUUUGUUGUAAUAGACGAUUCACAGAAAAGUAAACAAAAGAAUAACACCCAAAACACAAAGAAACUUCUCUUAAAUUCACUCAAUAUUAUUAAAACUCCAGAAUGCAAAAAUAAACCCACAAGUCGGGUUAAAUAGCUUAGAAAAUACGAAAUUAUGGAAAUUUUAUCAAAAAUAUCAAAAUCCCAAAAAUCACACCAAAAUAAAAUACGAAAUAAAAGAAGUAACUUUGUGCGCACCAAAAAAAGCUUUCCAAAUUGAUGUCAUAAUUGCGAUUUUGAUAACCAUUGCGAAAGUUAUGGCCAAACUACCAAAAAAAAGUCAAAAUUACCCCAAUUAAGAAAAGUAUUGCAAUCACUUUCCAUCUUUGUGCAGAUCCACCAUCUCAUGGUAUUUCAGCACCAUCAACGUUCUAUCUAACAUCUCGGCCUCACUUGAUUCGGAACCUCCUGCAUCAGUUUCCAUCCAAAUGCUAUUUGUUGCUACUUUUUACGGCAUGCACCUAUACGCCGCAUAAUACUUAUUACGAUGUGCAAUGCAUGCCGUAAAAAGUAAACUUUGUUGUAGUGUUUCCAAUUUACAUGAUACAAUGUCCCCUGUUUCUUUGUUGUACUUCACAAUUUAUACUUUUUCUUUUUGGUAAAAUGUCCAUCGAAAUGCUUUGCUUAUACAGAUUUAUUAUGAAGGUCAAAGUGCUUGAAACCAUAAAAGAAAGCAUAGAUCUAAUGAAAAGCAUCUUCGUGUUGGAGGGUGUAACAUAUCAAUACGGUGUAGCCUAUACAUAUUCUGAAGAUUUAUAUAAACCCUCACAUGACAAGAUACUUAUUAGUUAACAGUAAGCACAUACAAAGAACAAAGGCACGACCUAUUCUGUAAUGUCUUGAAAAUGAUUAUCAUCAUAUAUCCAAUAUUUAUGUGUCCCCCGAGUAAUUAAGAAUCAAUGAUUUAAAUUGUUACAUGAAAAUAAUGGAGUUUAAAUCACAAACCAAACCAACAAAAACCAUUUGGUUGCUUCACAAUUGGCCUUUGUUGUGAGAAACAAAUUUGUUUUCUUUCCUAUGGUUCAAUUCCCAUGGUCCAGUUGGAGGAUAUUAACAAAAUGGAUAUCUAAAGUACGCUUUAUAUUUAGUCAAAUUCUUUCCUUUCCGAUAUGAGAAAAUUAUAUUCAAUGUUUCGGCGACAAAAAAAAGAUUUCCUUUUAUUUUCAUUGAUAUGCACUACAUACCCAGAUGUAUUAGAUGAUCAAGGAAAUGGUGACAAAAAAAUUACGGUCAUAUUUGGUUCUUCGUUUUAGUGUAUGCCAUUUUAUGUAACUUCUUUUGUAAAUUUGUAGAUACAUAUGUCUGUUUAUUUCUUUUGGUUGCUUCACCAUUGGCCUUUUUUUAAACAAACACUCUAGUUUUCUCUCUUAUUGUCGAUCCCUGUGGUCCAAUUUAAGAAUGCUGUUAUAUAAAGUACCCUUGAUAUUUAGUCACAUUUCUUCCUUUCCCAUAUGAGAAAACUACAUUCAUUGUUUUGGCGAUAAAAAUGGAUUUCUUUUGAUUUGAUGUAUGGAUUCUGUGAGUGUAUUAUGUCAUCGGAAAUGAGUUUUAAUUAAAUCUCUCAUAUCAUCAUUAUACAUGAUUUACAUGAUACAAUAUCUUCUAGUUUGUGUUGUGCUUCACAAUCUUUGCUUUACUUGCUAUCAUAUACAUCAAUGGGCAUUACUUACACAGAACUAUUUCACGUUCAAGGAAAGGAUGAUUUGUGAAUUUCUGGAUUAGAUCAUUCCAAUGGUGCAGCUUGGUGGAUGUGAGUCCAACAAUACUGUGGGAUUCCAAUAAUUGCAAAAAAAGUAAGAGAAGAGACCAAAAGAGUAGCACUUGCAUGAGUCGUGCAAACAUCGUGCAUGUGUUGUGCGUUCGUUGUUCCACAGGAAAAAGGUUAUUGAGAAAGUACAAGUAUUAAAAAUUCAAUGUUCCACAAAUUUCAAAUGAAACACAAUUUUAUUAUUGUUACUUGACUAUUUAAAAGGAUUUGAUUGGUUUCCUUCCAUGGAAACUAUAUUUACAAAAAUGUGUUUCGUUCAAAAAUUUCUGUUAAGGCAUAUUUUUGGGAGUUUUACAUGACUAUAUAAACACAAUUUGGUAGGUUUCUGUUAUUGAUGGCCAAAAUUAUAUUGAACAUGCAAUUAUUGCCCACCCAAUGCAUAAGAACCAUGAUCUUAUAAAUUGAUUUUUGUUUGGCCCAGUAUUCAAAAAUGUCAAGUAAAACACAUUUUGAUGAGUGUACAUUAUUAUUUAAAAGGAAAUUGGUCUGUUUUCAAUGAACACACAUUCAUUGUACGCACAGUGCAUGGGACUGACGUAACUUUUGAUGAGAUAAUCGUUCAAAAUAUUUAAUGAGAUGCAUUUUUGUGAGUGUUACAUGUCUAAUUAAUAAAUGAUUGGCCAGUUUUCAUUAAUGAUAGUGCAAUGACAUGAGCAUUUAUUUAUUUUCCACUCAACGAUAGGACCCAAAUUUUAUAAAUUCAUUUUUUUCAUAUGUUGGUCAAAAUUUUUGAAUCUAGACAUUUUUAGAAUUUUAUAAAUUUGAUUUUAUCUCCUUUUACUUUUCUAUGUCAUUAUUCAUCAUUGAGGUAUGAGAUUUUGACAUUGCAAUUGAUUUUGGAGGAAUGUUAGAAAUUAUAGGUUCUAAUGUUUAUGUUUGAUUUCCUGUCCUUUUUCCUUCAGACCUUUUCACCCAAAUCUGUGCUCCAAUUGCAAUAUGUAUUAUAAAUUUAAAGUGCAAAGGAUUAUGACUCGGUUAUGAUUGAUGGGCACUUUAUUUCCAUUGGACACUGAAAGAAAAAAUAUUUGAAUCAAAGCAUUUGGGCAAGGGUAUUGAUUUUAACCUCCUUAUCACUAUCCCCCAGACUAAUGAAGGUUUGUUUGUUUCUAUAAGAAUUUUUUUGAGACUUUUAAUUGUUAAAACAAAUUCUGUGCGUGUUAACUGUUACAGCUCCAUUGAGUGUCAUUACCGCCUCAAUUUUAUUGUAUUUUAAAUUAUAAUAGUAAAACUAUGAACCAUUUCGGCUAUGAUCAUUGAAUUUGCUUCGAUGUAGUUUUGAAUGCAAACGGUUUCUCUAGCACCUCUUGUAUGCUAUUAUUGAAAGCCAACUGAUUCGUGAUUAUAUAUUGUGAAUAAAGCUUGCCAUUUAACUUACGGUUCUUAAAUUUGUGUCCUCUAGUGUGGCUAGGCACAAGGUAAAUAGUGUAGGCUUUAUUGAUAUUUAUGGUUUUGUCAUUAGUUCUCCUAUAUGAAUUUUUAUUCUUAGACUGUAUUACGUAUUUAAAAAGAAUUGAAGAUUGUCAAGAAUUGAGUGCAUAAUCGGAUGGAAGAUCAAUGGUUUGGUGAAUGAUGUAUUUGAAAAUAUUCAUAAUAGUGCUAUUAUACAAAGUGUUUAAAGUAUGAAAACCCGCAAAUCACAAUUGUAGUAGUGCACUAACUAUUUUCACUAAUGUUAUGUAAAUUUUUAAAAAAUUUGCAUUUAAUUUUUUUAUCCCACACAGAAAUUGAAUGUCUACGCCACUGCGUGCAUGUGUUGUGCGUUCCAAUUUCAAGAUGAAAAAGUUAUUGAGAGAGUAUAUGCAUAAAAAAAAAAAUCAAUGUUUUGAAAAAAAAAAAAAAAUUCAAAUGACACACAAUUUUUGGAGAGUUGCAAGACUACUUGAAAAAUGUUUUGUCUUUUGUAUCUUCAAAUGCACAACUUUAAUGAACACACAUUUAUUGCUUACCAAAUGCAUGAGAUCCACGUUUGUUUAAAUUAACUUUUGUUUAGUUGGGUAUUCAAAAAUAUCAAACUAAACAUGUUUUGAUGAUCUACAUUAUUAUUUUAAAAAAAUUUGCCUGGCUUUAAUCAUUGACAAUGCAAUAAUAAUGAACAUUGGCAGAUUUAGGGUGGAGAAUGGUAGUUCACUUGCCGCACCAAUUUUUAUUUUUUUUUAUUUUUUUUGGUUUUUGUUUUGUUGCUAGGGGUUUAAUGAAAAAUGUAUUACAUUGUUAGUAGGGGAAAAUUGGGAUUGUGUAUUAAUAUUAUGGUUAUAUUAUUUGUAGGAUUUUGAAAUGGACAAAUUUCUAAUUAUUCGAAUAAUUCUAAUGUUUUAAAUUAGUAAAUAGUGGUUAAUAUAUUUCAUUUUAUUUUAUGUUAAAUUUAAUAUCAUUCAAAAAAAUUAAUAGUUUUUUUCCCAAUUAUUAUUGCACUAUAUUUUGGGUAAUCAAACUAUGUUAUUUUAAUCUUGAUUUAUACUGAAAGUUCAAAUUAUAUUUGAUUGAUUUGUACAUCUUCUAAUAAAGUGCUUAGAUGGCUUACGUUCAAAUGCUAUUUGUUGCUACUUCGUAAAUAGUACUCUUUUUGGGAUAUGUAUUGCUUUUCUGAUAUUUAUUUCUUUGUUUUUAUUGCAAAAAAAGAUUAAGUAAANCCCCCCCCCCGGGGGGGGGGGGGGGGGGUUAAUGAAAAAUGUAAUACAUUGUUAGUAGGGGAAAUUUGGGAUUGUGUAUUAAUAUUAUGGUCAUAUUAUUUUUAGGAUUUUUAAAUGGACAAAUUAUCUAAUUAUUCGAAUAAUUCUAAUGUUUUAAUCAGUGAAUAGUGGUUAAUAUAUAUCAUUUUAUUUUAUGUUAAAUUUAAUAUCAUUCAAAAAAAUUAAUAGUUUUUUUUCCCAAUUAUUAUUGCACUAUAUUUUGGGUAAUCAAACUAUGUUAUUUCAAUCUUGAUUUAUACUGAAAGUUUAUUUGUACAUCUUCUAAUAAAGUGCUUAGAUGGCUUACGUUAAAGAUUUAGCAUCCGUAUGGCAAAUUUAUAAAAAGCUUAUGAAGAGGCGAAUGCUGAAACAAUGUCACGAGUUGCCUUAGGCGUAAGGCGUAAGAACAAGCACUUAAGCUCCUACAAGUAUAUGGUUAAAAACCUUGCCUUUUCAAGUAUAUAAUUUCUAUGCCUUGUUAUUAAAUGCCUCAUUUCUUACAUUCUAUAACUCAUCAUCCGUUCAUCAACUGGAAUUCUAGCUAGCGUCCAUUGUUUUUUUAAGGUCUUUAAUGUCUCAAUCAGUCGAAUGUGAGAACAAGUCUUAUAAACAUAGAAUGGAAAAUAAAUUUAAUCCUUCUCGGAUUGUGGGUGCACGAAUCUUUGAAGAAUUCGUCUCGAUCAUGCACCUCAAAAAUGAAGCCAAGUUUGGUAAGACCAUUAUGCUUGAUUAUAUGUUUGUCCUCAAAGACAUAAUUUAUGUCUUAUUAAUAUGUCUUGAGAUUUUGUAGUAUUUUCUCAAUACACGGCAAAAGCCACAUAAUAAAUUUAGACGUUGCUUUUCCUCAUAAAUACCACCUAUUAUGUUUGCAUUUAUAUCUUAAAAUUAUUCCCUGUGAGGAUCAUGGCUAAAAAGAAACUAUGCUUUUUUUUUGUUCUUUAUAAACUUGUUUGAUUUGGGAAUUUGGCUGUACCCCUAAUUCAAAAAUGUGUGUUUAGCACUAAUAAUGAACACCCAUCUGUUGUACACCAAAGUAUGUAGCCCACGUAAAUUUUGUUUGGACAGGUAAUCAAAUUUCAAACGAGAUGCGUUUUUAUGAGUGUUACAAGACUAUUUAAAAAGAUUGGUUAGUUUCCAUCAUUAAUUGUACACAUAAAAUGAACACGCACUUUUAUCUACCAAAUGUGCAGGAUCCACAUUUUUAUAUGUUGGCUUUUGUUCAUAUGGUGUUCAAAAAUUCUGAAUUUAACCCUUGUUUGAGUCUCAUUCUCUUGAUAAGAAUGAAUUUUGAAUAGUGAAUUGAUGAAAAAUGUUUGGUUAAAAAAUAAGGAAAUAUUUUAGAUUUACGUGAAAUAUUAUUUUAUUGAAGAAUGUGUGAUUGAAAUGAUGCUAAAAUAUUGUUAAGAAUGUAUUUUUUCAAAGAAUGGGAAUCAAAUAGGGGCUAAAACAUUUUUACAAUUGUUAUGUGGUGUGAGUAAUUGCAAAAUUUCAGAUUCGGAUUCUAAGUUGAUGAUGCGAAAAUCAGCCGAUUUUGAGCCGUUUUUUGCCACCCAUGCUCUGAUACCAGAUGUUAGGACCUUCCUCUUGCUGCUCACGCUGAUUCCCAAAUUUAACCCUUGUUUGAGUCUCAUUCUCUUGAUAAGAAUGAAUUUUGAAUAGUGAAUUGAUGAAAAAUGUUUGGUUAAAAAAUAAGGAAAUAUUUUAGAUUUACGUGAAAUAUUAUUUUAUUGAAGAAUGUGUGAUUGAAAUGAUGCUAAAAUAUUGUUAAGAAUGUAUUUUUUCAAAGAAUGGGAAUCAAAUAGGGGCUAAAACAUUUUUACAAUUGUUAUGUGGCUAUUUAAAAGGGUUUGGCUGAGUUUUCCUCAUAGAUAGUGCAACGAUAAAGGCCAAUUGAUCUAGCCUUCUACCCACUACAACUCCAACAUCACUUUAUUAAAAUGACAACUAUGCCCUUCAUAUUAAUACUCGCCAUAUCCCACAAAGCUCAUUGUACCCGUCAUCUUUAUAUCUACAAAUUUCUACCAUAAAUUCAAAUUGUUUUUCCAAGGCUCACGUGCUCUCAAUCUUACUAGCUAAACUACAAUAUUUCAAUUUGUGAAACGGAGAAAAUACAGAUGAAGUCCAAGAAAAUCUAUGGACAGUUGUAUAUACAUAGUUGUUGUUGUUAGGACCUUCCUCUUGCUGCUCACGCUGAUUCCCGGGCUCAGUUAACCAUUAAAACCGAGUUUCAACAUCAAACUGGAAGAACCCAUACCGCCGGCUACUCUUCUUCCUAUGGUUGCUUUCUUCUCUUGCUUAAUUGAUUCAAUCCACACACUUAGGAUGGAUACCACUCAGGUAAGGUUCACAAAGACUCAAGCAAUUUGGGUGGAGAAGAAAUCACGAAGGAGAUGAAGGCAGAAGAACUCGGCAGUUUCUCACGGCUUGGACACGGUUGGACGGCUUCAACUUUUGGACGGUUCCAACAAAGGCAAAGGCACCAAUAUAUAUAGUAAGUCAAGUGGCCAACAUAAGGUAAGUCGGGAUAUGGUAAGUAGGCUCGACUAGGGUUAACUUCCAAUGGAAGAAAUCAACAAGCCACAAAGAAUAUUAGCCGUCCAAUAGGUAAGGCAACGUUUGGUCGGUUCAUCCAUUAUUCGAUGUUGAAUUAUCGUUCAGUCAUUUAUGUCGACUGAUAAAAUUGGUUCUCAUCAUCGCCCGGGGGUCGUUUGACAACAUAAUGUCUAACA
rnacentral:lncRNA from 1 species